rnacentral:rRNA from 1 species
AGUGGGGAAUAUUGGACAAUGGGCGAAAGCCUGAUCCAGCAAUGCCGCGUGAGUGAUGAAGGCCUUAGGGUUGUAAAGCUCUUUUACCCGGGAUGAUAAUGACAGUACCGGGAGAAUAAGCUCCGGCUAACUCCGUGCCAGCAGCCGCGGUAAUACGGAGGGAGCUAGCGUUGUUCGGAAUUACUGGGCGUAAAGCGCACGUAGGCGGCUACUCAAGUCGGGGGUGAAAGCCCGGGGCUCAACCCCGGAACUGCCUUCGAAACUAGGUAGCUAGAAUCUUGGAGAGGUCAGUGGAAUUCCGAGUGUAGAGGUGAAAUUCGUAGAUAUUCGGAAGAACACCAGUGGCGAAGGCGACUGACUGGACAAGUAUUGACGCUGAGGUGCGAAAGCGUGGGGAGCAAA